rnacentral:rRNA from 1 species
GACGAACGCUGGCGGCGUGCUUAACACAUGCAAGUCGAACGGAAAGGCCCUGCUUUUGUGUGGUUCUCGCGUGGCGAGCGGGUGUGAAACCCGUGAGUAACCUGCCCUUGACUUUGGGAUAACUUCAGGCAACUGGGGCUAAUACCGGCUAGGAGCUCCUGCUGCAUGGUGGGGGUCGGAAAGUUUCGGCGGAUUGGGAUGGAUUCGGGGCUUACUAGCUUGUUGGUGGGGUAGUUGCUUACCAAGGGUUUGGCGGGUAGCCGGCCUGAGAGGGUAGACGGGCACAAUGGGACUGAGAGACGGACCAGACGGCUACGGGAGGCAGCAGGGGAGAAUAUUGCACAAUGAGCGGGAGCCUGAUGCAGCGACGCCGCGAGCGGGAUGACGGCCUUGGGGUGGUAAACCGCUUUCGCCUGUGACGAAGCGUGAGUGACGGUAAUGGGUAAAGAAGCACCGGCUAACUACGUG